AGUGAACGCUGGCGGUAGGCCUAACACAUGCAAGUCGAACGGCAGCACAGUAAGAGCUUGCUCUUACGGGUGGCGAGUGGCGGACGGGUGAGGAAUACAUCGGAAUCUACUUUUUCGUGGGGGACAACGUAGGGAAACUUACGCUAAUACCGCAUACGACCUACGGGUGAAAGCAGGGGAUCUUCGGACCUUGCGCGAUUGAAUGAGCCGAUGUCGGAUUAGCUAGUUGGCGGGGUAAAGGCCCACCAAGGCGACGAUCCGUAGCUGGUCUGAGAGGAUGAUCAGCCACACUGGAACUGAGACACGGUCCAGACUCCUACGGGAGGCAGCAGUGGGGAAUAUUGGACAAUGGGCGAAAGCCUGAUCCAGCUAUACCGCGUGGGUGAAGAAGGCCUUCGGGUUGUAAAGCCCUUUUGUUGGGAAAGAAAAGCAGCAGGUUAAUACCCCGCUGUUCUGACGGUACCCAAAGAAUAAGCACCGGCUAACUUCGUG
rnacentral:rRNA from 1 species